UACGAACUGUGCAAACGUUAUUCGGAAUCACUGGGCUUAAAGGGUGCGUAGGCGGCUUGUUAAGUAGGGUGUGAAAUCCCCCGGCUCAACCGGGGAAUUGCGCCCUAAACUGGCGAGCUGGAGUGAGAUAGGGUGAGUGUGGAAGCUUCCAGUGGAGCGGUGAAAUGUGUUGAUAUUGGAAGGAACGCCAGUGGCGAAAGCGACACACUGGGUCUCAACUGACGCUGAGGCACGAAAGCCAGGGGAGCAAACGGG
rnacentral:rRNA from 1 species